rnacentral:rRNA from 1 species
GAUGAACGCUGGCGGCGUGACUAAUACAUGCAAGUCGAGCGAACAGACGAGGAGCUUGCUCCUCUGACGUUAGCGGCGGACGGGUGAGUAACACGUGGAUAACCUACCUAUAAGACUGGGAUAACUUCGGGAAACCGGAGCUAAUACCGGAUAAUAUAUUGAACCGCAUGGUUCAAUAGUGAAAGACGGUUUUGCUGUCACUUAUAGAUGGAUCCGCGCCGCAUUAGCUAGUUGGUAAGGUAACGGCUUACCAAGGCAACGAUGCGUAGCCGACCUGAGAGGGUGAUCGGCCACACUGGAACUGAGACACGGUCCAGACUCCUACGGGAGGCAGCAGUAGGGAAUCUUCCGCAAUGGGCGAAAGCCUGACGGAGCAACGCCGCGUGAGUGAUGAAGGUCUUCGGAUCGUAAAACUCUGUUAUUAGGGAAGAACAAAUGUGUAAGUAACUAUGCACGUCUUGACGGUACCUAAUCAGAAAGCCACGGCUAACUACGUG